rnacentral:rRNA from 1 species
GACGAACGCUGGCGGCGUGCUUAACACGUGCAAGUCGAACGGAAAGGCCCUGCUUUUGUGGGGUGCUCGAGUGGCGAACGGGUGAGUAACACGUGAGUAACCUGCCCUUGACUUUGGGAUAACUUCAGGAAACUGGGGCUAAUACCGGAUAGGAGCUCCUGCUGCAUGAUGGGGGUUGGAAAGUUUCGGCGGUUGGGGAUGGACUCGCGGCUUAUCAGCUUGUUGGUGGGGUAGUGGCUUACCAAGGCUUUGACGGGUAGCCGGCCUGAGAGGGUGACCGGCCACAUUGGGACUGAGAUACGGCCCAGACUCCUACGGGAGGCAGCAGUGGGGAAUAUUGCACAAUGGGCGGAAGCCUGAUGCAGCAACGCCGCGUGCGGGAUGACGGCCUUCGGGUUGUAAACCGCUUUCGCCUGUGACGAAGCGUGAGUGACGGUAAUGGGUAAAGAAGCACCGGCUAACUACGUG